UGGUCAAAAACAACAUAUGCCUAAUGUUUUAUGUCAUAUUUCACUUGGUUCCACUUGUACAUUUGUGAGUGCAGGGGUAGAACAGGUAUUUUCUGGGCAAAACAAGGCAAAAUCAACCAGAACGGAGACACCUGGCAUAGUUGGCAUGCUGCCAAGUGGCGCCUGCCAGCCAGGAGAUGGCCCCGCCACUGACAGGUAGCGCCUGCCAGCCAGGAGGUGGCGCCCGCCAGAAACAAUCUCACGUCAAACAAUCAGCUUGCAGAUGGAUUUACAAAGUCUAUAACCCCGUCGAAGUUGAUUAAGUUUAGAAACAAUCUCAACCUCAUGGCCGGCUG
rnacentral:lncRNA from 1 species